UUUUUUAUAUUUUCCGUUCUUUGUUGAUGGAUGAUUGAACGUACUCCGUUUUCAAAUAUGAGGAAUAUUACAGCUGGUUGGCAAAGUGAGAGCGUACUGGCGGUGGCAACAUUCAUGUCUCUUUGUCUAUCAUUUUCUGUCAUCUUUUCCAUCAUUUUCUCGGAGUGGGUUUAUCCUUUACAGUGAUACUGUUCUCAAAGCCUCUAUAAAUCUUCAUCCAUGCAGUCACAGAUUUUCAUCAAGCCUAAUAAUGUCCACUCUCUUCACUCAUCUCUAGCUAGGGUUCUAACUUCUUUACUCCAUUUCAGCCUUCUUUUUUUCUUUUUUUCUUUUUUCUUUUAGAGAUCUUUGUUGGAAAUCUCAAUGUAGAAAUGAAGCAGAAACAAUCACCUAGAGGAUUUUAGCUGUUGAUGAAUAUGAGCUACCCCUUAUCGAUCGUAAGUCUCUUUAAUCUUGACGAGUUGGAGUAUGAAGAAUGUAAGAAGACAGAUAUAGGAAGAUUCAUUCAAGUGGGAAUUCUUUCAAGUUUUGGGUCAUGGCAUUCUCCAAAGUUUUGUCUCGGAUGCAGUGUGAGCAAGUGAAAUUCUUCCAGUAACUUUUCCACCAAAGGACUGAUGAGGACUAAUGCAAUUUCAGGUCAAUACUAGAGAAUUUAUGAUUAUGAUUUUUGCAUCAAGGGUAAGGAUGAAAAAUGGUUUAGCAUCAAGGGUAACUUACCUCCUAUAAAACUUCACUUGCUCACUCUGGAUUCGAGAUGAAACAUUAGGAUUGACUUAUUUGGAAGGUCGGUUUGGAUGAAGUUUCACAUAUCUGUCUCUUACACUCUUCAUGCUCCAAGUUGCCAAGAUUCAAGAAACUUAGAUCGAUGAGUGGUAGCUCACAUUCAUCAAUAGUAAAGGACUUCUUUAAUGUUAAUUAAGUUUGAUUCCACUUCUAAUAUUAUGUUUCAAAGGAGAUUUAUACAA